GCCAGGAUAGCUCAGUUGGUAGAGCAGAGGACUGAAAAUCCUCGUGUCGCCAGUUCAAAUCUGGUUUCUGGCA
rnacentral:tRNA from 1 species